rnacentral:tRNA from 2 species
CUCAGCGGUAGAGCGGUCGGCUGUUAACCGAUUGGUCGUAGGUUCGAAUCCUAUCCGGGGAG